GACGAACGCUGGCGGCGUGCUUAACACAUGCAAUUCGAACGGAAAUGCCCUGCUUUUGUGGGGUGCUCGAGUGGCGAACUGGUGAGUAACACGUGAGUAACCUGCCCUUGACUUUGGGAUAACUUCAGGAAACUGGGUCUAAUACCGGAUAGGAGCUCCUGCUGCAUGGUGGGGGUUGGACAGUUUUGGCGGUUGGGGAUUGACUCGCGGCUUAUCAGCUUUUUGGUGGGGUAGUCGCUUCCCAAAGCUUUGGCGGGUAGCCGGCCUGAUCGGGUGACCGGAACAAAUGGGGCCGAGAAACGGCCGAGAGCCAAACGGGAAGCAGCAGAGGCGAAAAAUGAACAAUGAGCAGAAGCCUGACGCAGCAAAGUCGCGUGAGGGAGAAUAGCAUUGGGGUUACAAAACGCUAUAGUGUGUGACGAAGGGAGAGUGAAGGUAAUGGGUAAAGAAGCACCGGCUAACUACGAG
rnacentral:rRNA from 1 species